GACGAACGCUGGCGGCGUGCUUAACACAUGCAAGUCGAACGGAAAGGCCCUGCUUUUGUGGGGUGCUCGAGUGGCGAACGGGUGAGUAACACGUGAGUAACCUGCCCUUGACUUUGGGAUAACUUCAGGAAACUGGGGCUAAUACCGGAUAGGAGCUCCUGCUGCAUGGUGGGGGUUGGAAAGUUUCGGCGGUUGGGGAUGGACUCGCGGCUUAUCAGCUUGUUGGUGGGGUAGUGGCUUACCAAGGCUUUGGCGGGUAGCCGGCCUGAGAGGGUGACCGGCCACAUGGGGACUGGGGUACGGCCCAGACUCCUACGGGGGGCAACAGUGGGGAAUAUUGCACAAUGGGCGGAAGCCUGAUGCAGCAACGCCGCGUGCGGGAUGACGGCCUUCGGGGUGUGAACCGCUUUCGCCUGUGACGAAGCGUGAGUGACGGUAAUGGGUAAAGAAGCACCGGCUAACUACGUG
rnacentral:rRNA from 1 species